rnacentral:lncRNA from 1 species
AGGACCAAAUGUGGUUCGAGUCUUAGGCCUAACACGAAGUGGGGGGGUUGAAAAGGUUUCACCAUGCACGAAAAUGAAAUUAAAACAAUAAAAACGAAACUGCUACAGUAAUUACGAAAAUUCACGCUGGAACUGGACAGCUCUGACCUUUGCUCAAUGUUUUACCCAUAACUUUUUCUACAGAGCUCUAAAUGAGAUGAGGUAUUUUUUUCCUGAAAAGUAGACUCAAUUAUCUUUCAUGUGAUAUAUAAAACGUAGCAUUUGG